AUUCCGAUGAAGAUCUGCAGGAAUCUGCUCAGAGUGGCGUGGAGGAGAAUAUGAGAUCAGAACUUGAUUUAUCUACAGCUGAGUAUGACGACCGUCCUGUGGAAGAUCUGCAGGAGCUUGCCCAUGGCAGUGCGGAGGAUAUGAAAUC